rnacentral:rRNA from 1 species
AACUUCGACCUGAACUCAGACGUGACA